AGGUGGUAACUUGGUAUCUGCUAGAGGUGUUAAUGGUGGAAAGGAAGCCUCAGAUUCUUGCUCCUGCAGCAAAAGUAGUUUGUCAUUUAUUGUUAGCCUUCAAUCUAAAAUGGGUUAUGUGAUGACAAAAGUCUUUGGAUUCUUUUGUUUGGAUUAUUAGAUCCAGUAGCCAAGGUGAAUAGAUCUGAUCCGGUUGAAAGGUGAAGCAAGGCUAAAAGGAGGAUUAUAUGUUA
rnacentral:lncRNA from 1 species